UUUUUUUUGAGACAGGGUCUCACUCUGUCAUGCAGGCUGGAGUGCAGUGGUGCAAUCACAGCUCACUGCAGCCUCAACUUCCCAGGCUCAAUGGAUCCCCCCACCCCAACCUCCUGCCCCCACCCCAUCGAGUAGCUGGGACUAUAGGCACAUACCACCACAUCUGGCUAAUUUUUGUAUUUUUUGUAGAGACGGGGUUUUACCAUGCUGCUGCACACUGGUCUUGAACUCCUGGGCUCUAGUGAUCCACCUGCUCAGCUUCCCAAAGUAAUGGGAAUACAGGAAACAAAGACAAGUGAAGCAGCAAACUUGCCGAACAAUCUCUGCCACACCAUAUGCACUUCAAAAGACCAACCACAGUGAUUAAAGGGAUGAAAAAGAUGACCUGCUUGAAAACUCUAAAGAACCCAGUAUUAUUUGAAAGAAGAGGAAGCUGAAUGGUAACUUAAUAACUAUCUUCAGAUUUCAACAGGACUACUACUUCUGUUUUAUCCAUUUCUAUAGAGUUUGAAACUACUAAGGAAUUAUUCUGAAAUCUUUCUGUAACUAGCAUAUUUGAC
rnacentral:lncRNA from 1 species